GGGUUGUGAGGUUAAGCGACUAAGCGUACACGGUGGAUGCCCUGGCAGUCAGAGGCGAUGAAGGGCGUGCUAAUCUGCGAUAAGCGCCGGUAAGGUGAUAUGAACCGUUAUAACCGGCGAUACCCGAAUGGGGAAACCCAGUGUGACUCGUCACACUAUCAUUAACUGAAUCCAUAGGUUAAUGAGGCGAACCGGGGGAACUGAAACAUCUAAGUACCCCGAGGAAAAGAAAUCAACCGAGAUUCCCCCAGUAGCGGCGAGCGAACGGGGAGGAGCCCAGAGCCUGAAUCAGCAUGUGUGUUAGUGGAAGCGUCUGGAAAGGCGCGCGAUACAGGGUGACAGCCCCGUACACAAAAGCGCAUGUGCUGUGAGCUCGAUGAGUAGGGCGGGACACGUGGUAUCCUGUCUGAAUAUGGGGGGACCAUCCUCCAAGGCUAAAUACUCCUGACUGACCGAUAGUGAACCAGUACCGUGAGGGAAAGGCGAAAAGAACCCCGGCGAGGGGAGUGAAAAAGAACCUGAAACCGUGUACGUACAAGCAGUGGGAGCCCCACCACUAAGCCAGUGGUGAACUCCACAUACGCAUCCUUUGCUGAGGAUACGGUUAACGGAGCGAAAGCGACGUUCAACCGCAAAACAAGCAGAGGGGGCUUAGUGGUGGGGUGACUGCGUACCUUUUGUAUAAUGGGUCAGCGACUUAUAUUCUGUAGCAAGGUUAACCGAAUAGGGGAGCCGGAGGGAAACCGAGUCUUAAU
rnacentral:rRNA from 1 species